rnacentral:rRNA from 1 species
UACGUAGGGGGCUAGCGUUGUCCGGAAUCAUUGGGCGUAAAGAGCGUGUAGGCGGUCCGGUAAGUCCGCUGUGAAAGUCGGGGGCUCAACCCUCGAAUGCCGGUGGAUACUGUCGGGCUAGAGUGCGGAAGAGGCGAGUGGAAUUCCUGGUGUAGCGGUGAAAUGCGUAGAUAUCUGCAGGAACACCCGUGGCGAAAGCGGCGAGCUGGAUCACUACUGACGCUGAGGAACGAAAGCUAGGGGAGCAAACAGG